rnacentral:rRNA from 1 species
UACGGAGGGAGCGAGCGUUGUUCGGAAUUACUGGGCGUAAAGCGUGCGCAGGCGGAUUUUCAAGUCAGAAGUGAAAGCCCAGGGCUCAACCUUGGAAUUGCUUUUGAAACUGGAUGUCUCGAGUCUCGGAGAGGUUGGCGGAAUUCCCAGUGUAGCAGUGAAAUGCGUAGAUAUUGGGAGGAACACCAGUGGCGUAAGCGGCCAACUAGACGAGUACUGACGCUCAUGCACGAAAGUGUGGGGAUCAAACAGG